GACGAACGCUGGCGGCGUGCCUAACACAUGCAAGUGGAGCGACGAACCAGGCUUCGGCCUGGGGCAAGGCCGCGAACGGGUGAGUAACACGUGGGUAACCUGCCCUGAUGAUUGGGACAACCCGAGGAAACUCGGGCUAAUACCGAAUGUGCCCUCCGGCCUCAAGGCCGCUGGGGAAGGAAGCUUCGGCCUCCGCAUCGGGAUGGGCCCGCGGCCCAUUAGCUUGUUGGUGAGGUAACGGCUCACCAAGGCGACGAUGGGUAGCUGGUCUGAGAGGACGAUCAGCCACACUGGGACUGAGACACGGCCCAGACUCCUACGGGAGGCAGCAGUGGGGAAUCUUGCGCAAUGCGCGAAAGCGUGACGCAGCAACGCCGCGUGGGGGAAGAAGG
rnacentral:rRNA from 1 species